GGCGGUGUAUGGUACACAGGGCCAGGUUCAACUCCUGGGCGGCCUCCAGGUCCGCAACCGUGGGGAAAGUAAGAGAGUGCCGGUUCAAGUCCGGCCGCCGCCA
rnacentral:tRNA from 1 species